CACGUAGGGGGCAAGCGUUGUCCGGAUUUAUUGGGCGUAAAGAGCUCGUAGGCGGUUCGGUAAGUCGGGUGUGAAACCUCCAGGCUCAACCUGGAGACGCCACCCGAUACUGCUGUGACUUGAGUCCGGUAGGGGAGCGUGGAAUUCCUGGUGUAGCGGCGAAAUGCGCAGAUAUCAGGAGGAACACCAGCGGCGAAGGCGGCGCUCUGGGCCGGAACUGACGCUGAGGAGCGAAAGCGUGGGUAGCAAACAGG
rnacentral:rRNA from 1 species